GCCCCUGUAGCCCAAUGGCAGAGGCAGGCUCCCUAAAAGAGCCAAUGUGUCGGUUCGAGUCCGACCAGGGGCACCA
rnacentral:tRNA from 1 species